rnacentral:tRNA from 1 species
GCCUCCGUGGCGCAAUCGGCUAGCGCGUUCGGCUGGUAACCGAAAAGUUGGAGGUUCAAGCCCUCCCGGGGGCG